UACGUAGGGUACAAGCGUUGUCCGGAAUUAUUGGGCGUAAAGAGCUCGUAGGUGGUCUGUCACGUCUGCUGUGGAAACGCAAGGCUCAACCUUGCGCGUGCAGUGGGUACGGGCGGACUAGAGUGCAGUAGGGGAGUCUGGAAUUCCUGGUGUAGCGGUGAAAUGCGCAGAUAUCAGGAGGAACACCGGUGGCGAAGGCGGGACUCUGGGCUGUAACUGACGCUGAGGAGCGAAAGCAUGGGGAGCGAACAGGA
rnacentral:rRNA from 1 species